ACCCAGCUGAUAAGUCCCAAAUAGGACGAAACGCGCGUCCUGGAU
rfam:Schistosoma rodhaini strain Burundi genome assembly, scaffold: SROB_scaffold0011006